CCUGAGUAGAAUGUUAAGGCUUUAGCCCAUAGGCCAGGUGCCGGCAGGAGAAGAUAUAUGGUCCAAAGUCCCUGCAGCAGUCCCUCAAGAUUCAGCAGGCUUUGAUUAGCUUGCUGUUGCCUGCCAUCUGAACAGAUCAAGGAGUACUCCCCUGGGUGCCUUUGGGCCAUGUGAGGGAAAAGAAAGACAGGCCUGGAUUCAUUAGGAGUAGACCGAUUUAAUUUUAGGAGGUUGGACCAGAGGAAUGUGAGCAAGUUUCUGGUCUACCCUGAUUUGUUGCCCUGUAGCACCAAAUACCUGCUGAGGAGACAUGUGAGUCCAACUUCAGUGAAAGGGAAUGAGCUCUGUGGAUGCCCAGUACCUUACAGGUAAGAUGUUAAUGUAAAGAUACGAAUCUUUCAUUGCAGUUG
rnacentral:lncRNA from 14 species